GGUGAAAUUGUGAAGGGCGCAUGGUGGAUGCCUAGGUGUCAAGUAGCGAAGAAGGACGUGGCAAGCUGCGAAAAGUCACGGGGAGCCGCAAGCUGGCAUAGAUCCGUGGAUAUCCGAAUAGGGGAACCGGCUCUUGGAUAGUACCGAGAGCGUCUGUAAGCUGAAUUGAUAGGUUUACGGAGGUGGACCCAGGGAACUGAACCAUCUAAGUACCUGGAGGAAAAGAAAGAAAGAUCGAUUUCCUGAGUAGUGGCGAGCGAAAGGGAAAGAGCCUAAACCUGCUUUUGCGUAGAAGGGUGCAGUUGUUGCAAGGUGGGUGUUGUGGGGUUUAUAGUCGCCGGUCUGCAUG
rnacentral:rRNA from 1 species